rnacentral:RNase_P_RNA from 1 species
AAAGCAAGCAAAGGUGGUUGCCUCGUUGUUUGAUAACAAUGGGGAGGAAAGUCCGAGCUCCACAGGAUAAUGUACCCUGGUAAUGCAGGGCCUUGUCUUAGACAAGAGGAUUAGAGCUACAGUGACGAUGCAAGUAAAUUGGUCUUCGACAAAUUUACCUGAGUGAAACGAGCAAUCUCUACAUGGAGCAAUGCUAAAUAGGCAGAAAGUAAUCUAAGAAUUUACGAACUGGUCCGGUUCGUCGUAUCUGCGGGUAGGCUGCAAGAGUUUAAGGAGUGAUCCUUAAAGUGAGUUGAAUAACCAUCUAGGAGACGUUGUUUACAAUGUCUCCUAAACUGAACUCGGCUUAUAGCGUGCUUUUUUU